GAUGAACGCUGGCGGCGUGCCUAAUACAUGCAAGUCGAGCGAAUGGAUUAAGAGCUUGCUCUUAUGAAGUUAGCGGCGGACGGGUGAGUAACACGUGGGUAACCUGCCCAUAAGACUGGGAUAACUCCGGGAAACCGGGGCUAAUACCGGAUAACAUUUCGAACCGCAUGGUUCGAAAUUGAAAGGCGGCUUCGGCUGUCACUUAUGGAGGGCACCGCGUCGCAUUGGCUAGUUGGUGAGGUAACGGCUCACCAAGGGAACGAUGCGUAGCCGACCUGAGAGGGUGAUCGGCCACACUGGGACUGAGACACGGCCCAGACUCCUACGGGAGGCAGCAGUAGGGAAUCUUCCGCAAUGGACGAAAGUCUGACGGAGCAACGCCGCGUGAGUGAUGAAGGCUUUCGGGUCGUAAAACUCUGUUGUUAGGGAAGAACAAGUGCUAGUUGAAUAAGCUGGCACCUUGACGGUACCUAACCAGAAAGCCACGGCUAACUACGUGCCAGCAGCCGCAGUAA
rnacentral:rRNA from 1 species